GACAUAGGUGGCGAACGUUAUCCGGAAUUAUUGGGCGUAAAGAGUGCGUAGGUGGUUCAAUAAGUUACUGGUGGGAAAUCGGGGCUCAACCCCGUGGAAGUUAGUAAUACUAUUAAACUAGAGGGUCGGAGAGGUUAACGGAAUUCUAUGUGUAGCGGUAAAAUGCUUAAAUAUAUAGAGGAACACCAAACGGCGAAGGCAGUUAACUAUUCGAUUCCUGACGUUGAGGCACGAAAGCGUGGGGAGCAAGACGG
rnacentral:rRNA from 1 species